AGGACGAACGCUGGCGGCGUGCCUAACACAUGCAAGUCGAACGGGACCAGGGGCAACUCUGGUUCAGUGGCGGACGGGUGCGUAACACGUGAGGAACAUGACCUUCGGCGGGGGAUAGCCGGCCCAACGGCCGGGUAAUACCGCGUACGACCACUUGGGGACAUCCCUGAGUGGUGAAAGCAGCAAUGCGCCGAUGGAGUGCCUCGCGGCCUAUCAGCUAGUUGGUGAGGUAACGGCUCACCAAGGCGACGACGGGU
rnacentral:rRNA from 1 species